UACGGGAGGCAGCAGUGGGGAAUAUUGCACAAUGGGCGCAAGCCUGAUGCAGCCAUGCCGCGUGUAUGAAGAAGGCCUUCGGGUUGUAAAGUACUUUCAGUCGUGAGGAAGGUGUUAAGGUUAAUAACCUUAGCAAUUGACGUUAGCGACAGAAGAAGCACCGGCUAACUCCGUGCCAGCAGCCGCGGUAAUACGGAGGGUGCGAGCGUUAAUCGGAAUUACUGGGCGUAAAGGGCACGCAGGCGGUUAAUUAAGUUGGAUGUGAAAUCCCCGGGCUUAACCUGGGAAUGGCAUUCAAGACUGGUUAGCUAGAGUCUUGUAGAGGGGGUAGAAUUCCAUGUGUAGCGGUGAAAUGCGUAGAGAUGUGGAGGAAUACCGGUGGCGAAGGCGGCCCCUGGACAAAGACUGACGCUCAUGUGCGAAAGCGUGGGGAGCGAAACAGGGAUUAGAUACC
rnacentral:rRNA from 1 species